rnacentral:rRNA from 1 species
GACGGAGGGUGCAACCGUUGUUCGGAUUUACUGGGCGUAAAGCGCGUGUAGGCGGCUUGGCAAGUCGGAUGUGAAAGCCCACGGCUCAACCGUGGAAGCGCAUCCGAAACUGCUUCGCUCGAGUCUCGGAGAGGAAGGUGGAAUGCUUGGUGUAGAGGUGAAAUUCGUAGAUAUCAAGCAGAACACCUGCGGCGAAGGCGGCCUUCUGGACGAUGACUGACGCUGAGACGCGAAAGCCAGGGGAGCAAACGGG